rnacentral:rRNA from 1 species
GACGAACGCUGGCGGCGUGCUUAACACAUGCAAGUCGAACGGAAAGGCCCUGCUUUUGUGGGGUGCUCGAGUGGCGAACGGGUGAGUAACACGUGAGUAACCUGCCCUUGACUUUGGGAUAACUUCAGGAAACUGGGGCUAAUACCGGAUAGGAGCUCCUGCUGCAUGGUGGGGGUUGGAAAGUUUCGGCGGUUGGGGAUGGACUCGCGGCUUAUCAGCUUGUUGGUGGGGUAGUGGCUUACCAAGGCUUUGACGGGUAGCCGGCCUGAGAGGGUGACCGGCCACAUUGGGACUGAGAUACGGCCCAGACUCCUACGGGAGGCAGCAGUGGGGAAUAUUGCACAAUGGGCGGAAGCCUGAUGCAGCAACGCCGCGUGCGGGAUGACGGCCUUCGGGUUGUAAACCGCUUUCGCCUGUGACGAAGCGUGAGUGACGGUAAUGGGUAAAGAAGCACCGGCUAACUACGUGCCAGCAGCCGCGGUGAUACGUAGGGUGCGAGCGUUGUCCGGAUUUAUUGGGCGUAAAGGGCUCGUAGGUGGUUGAUCGCGUCGGAAGUGUAAUCUUGGGGCUUAACCCUGAGCGUGCUUUCGAUACGGGUUGACUUGAGGAAGGUAGGGGAGAAUGGAACUCCUGGUGGAGCGGUGGAAUGCGCAGAUAUCAGGAGGAACACCAGUGGCGAAGGCGGUUCUCUGGGCCUUUCCUGACGCUGAGGAGCGAAAGCGUGGGGAGCGAACAGGCUUAGAUACCCUGGUAGUCCACGCUGUAAACGGUGGGUACUAGGUGUGGGGUCCAUUCCACGGGUUCCGUGCCGUAGCUAACGCUUUAAGUACCCCGCCUGGGGAGUACGGCCGCAAGGCUAAAACUCAAAGGAAUUGACGGGGCCCCGCACAAGCGGCGGAGCAUGCGGAUUAAUUCGAUGCAACGCGUAGAACCUUACCUGGGUUUGACAUGGAUCGGGAGUGCUCAGAGAUGGGUGUGCCUCUUUUGGGGUCGGUUCACAGGUGGUGCAUGGCUGUCGUCAGCUCGUGUCGUGAGAUGUUGGGUUAAGUCCCGCAACGAGCGCAACCCUUGUUCACUGUUGCCAGCACGUUAUGGUGGGGACUCAGUGGAGACCGCCGGGGUCAACUCGGAGGAAGGUGGGGAUGACGUCAAGUCAUCAUGCCCCUUAUGUCCAGGGCUUCACGCAUGCUACAAUGGCUGGUACAGAGAGUGGCGAGCCUGUGAGGGUGAGCGAAUCUCGGAAAGCCGGUCUCAGUUCGGAUUGGGGUCUGCAACACGACCUCAUGAAGUCGGAGUCGCUAGUAAUCGCAGAUCAGCAACGCUGCGGUGAAUACGUUCCCGGGGCU